rnacentral:rRNA from 1 species
GACAGAGGGUGCGAACGUUGUUCGGAAUUACUGGGCGUAAAGGGCGCGUAGGCGGUGUGUCAAGUCAGGCGUGAAAGCCCCGGGCUCAACCUGGGAACCGCGCUUGAGACUGGCACGCUCGAGUUCGGGAGAGGAUGGUGGAAUUCCCAGUGUAGAGGUGAAAUUCGUAGAUAUUGGGAAGAACACCGAUGGCGAAGGCAGCCAUCUGGGUAGAUACUGACGCUGAGGCGCGAAAGCGUGGGGAGCAAACAGG